UUUUUGAUUUUUUGCUAAGUUUUUAUUUUAAUUCAAGGACUUUGCUUCAUACAAAAUGUCAUUGUAGAAACAAUAGCAGAAUCCAAAGUUUGGCUGAUAAAUAUUACUCAGGCAGCAAACUAGUCAAUCACAGAAUUUUUUUUAAGUAGGUCCCAGUUGUGUUGCAUGGUUGGGACUUUUUUUUUUUUUUAACACUUCUUAAAUAUAAAGUUUUGCAACAAACCUUUGAUUUAUAUCAAAUAUAAUUAAAAAUUAAAUGAAUACAUUGUAUCAAAAAGUACGAAGAUAUACAUUAUCAUGCACAUACUUGUAUAUAUGUAUAUAUGUAUAUAUGUUACAUGCACACAUAACUUGUUCAAACUACAGCCACUGCUUGACUGGUUCCAGAUGCAGACAACUGGGUGAUGCAUUUCAAAUUUGGCAACUCACUAUGAGAUUCAGGGGACAUAUAUGAUAGCUGGAGAAGACACAGUGAGAAACAAAACCCAAAGUCAGGAAAACAAGACAUAAUGUCUCCUUUCCCCGCUCCCUGUAGUUUUCAUCAAUUCCAAUGCCUAGAAGAGUCCAGACAAGCCAGCUAGGCUGUGUGGGUCUAGAAAAGUGGAUUCUCGACCCAACACUGCCUGGGGAAAUGGCUGUGGUUCUGCAUGGAAUGGACACAUUUGACACCCAAGAUAACAUGGGCUGGGGGCGGGGGAACAAGAGACAAAACAUCAGUCAAAAUACACAUCCUUCUACUUUGCAACAUGAGCACAGUGAUCACAUGCAUAGUCCGAGAUUCCUGGUUUAUUCUAUUGGAAUAAAAUACUCUGUUGUCGUUAAAGUUCCAGAGCGUUGUGCCUUCAGGUAAGGAAAUUCUAUAAAAAGGUUUGGUCACAAUCAUGCUGAACCCCGAGACCAGGCAGCGGUCUUGUGUGUUUUAUUUCUAGUAAAUGUGUCUUUUGUUGCAUAGCCCUAUGGGUUAAUGACAUCCACACACUGAGCACACCUGCACAGGCACUGUGCCUCCCGUGACACAGACACACACACACGCAUCACACACAACUUCUUUGAGGAGAAUCGUGGGGUAGAAGCCAAGAAUCCAACACAGAUCAUCUGGAAUUUCAGAACACGGAGGACACACCACCACUAACUGCUCUAAAUGCUCCCUUUCUUCACAAAACAAAGGGCCUCCCAGCAGCUUGUGCACCUUGGACAGUGUCCUGAGCGUGCUCUUUCUCUCCUGAGCAUGGCCAUGGGGGUCAGACCUCACUUGACUGCCUGCUCCGUGUCUGGCGCCAGGACAGUGCUGGGCGUCAGGUGUCCUCCCUUGGUCACUUGCUCUGAGUUUCAUUCCAGCUGGGGUUUCCUCCCUCCUGCCCUGACGGCCCUACAUCCAAGCCCCCAGCCAAUGUCUCCCUCCUUCCUGCCAGCCUUUCCCUCUCUUCUGCUGUGUGUGGACGGAAACCUAUUUCACACACCACAGAGUGUGCCCUGAGAAUCAGAUGCAGAACAGACUGAAAAUGCCUCACACAAGCACAUGGUCAGCCACCCUGUGGCUUCCCUGGAAACCCCUUCCACUCGUGGGAGGAGGACAACAAAUGGCUGCCUUGUUUCCCACCAUGACAUCCAGUACUCUCCACUGGCAAGGGCUUGCUACCUGGCUGCCGUUUUGAGUACUUUUCACAACAUCCUGCCACGAUGGUUCCCGAGGCCUCGCCUCACACCACAGUGCCCAGGUGCCCGGGUGUGAGGGCCUGGCGGUCAGGCACUUGGUCAAGAGCAGCAGAGUCAGGGGCCGUCUGGGAUCCACCUGGACUGGACGGGGCUGCACAGGGAGUCUCCCUCACAUAAGCCACAAAGACACGUGGCAAAAAGCUGACAUCUUUCUUCCACAGGUUUGAUUUUUUAAAGUUAUGUGAACAUUUCCUUCCCCAUUUUUCUGGUUUUCUAUUUUUUCUACACCAAGUAUAUAGAAGUGACAAGACUGAAGGUGUUGCAAUUAAAAAUCAAAACCACAGUAAGAACACUUUCCACCUCAGUCCCUGCGGGGCUGACGGUGUCCAGGGAGGGACAGAGCGUGUCUGAGCGAGCGUUCACUGACGCUGGCGGGCUGCACAAGCCACGACCGUUUCCCCUUCCCAUCCCCUCCGUCCCGAGGUCUCGGCGCGCUUUCAGGUGGGCCCUGCUUCUCUGCUGCACGGCCGCGUGAAGGGUGCUCCCCACAGGACGCAGAGCUCCUCACAACGGCUCCAAGCCACCCUGGAUGCUGAGUCCCAGGACACGGGAUUUGGACUCCCGGGUCCUUCUCAGCUACACACAGCAGCCUGCACUUUAGGGUCUGGUGUGUGGUACGAGACCCAGGAAGGCAGGACAGGAAGGGGACAGAGAGCCGCAUCCUCUAACAGGGCUUUAUUCGUCGUCUAGAGUAAAAGAGGGAAGGAGGGGGAGGGAGGGGCCGCAGGAGCCUCACCAAGGUGGGCGAGGCCUCCCCCCAGGGGCUGCUGCCCCGUGUG
rnacentral:lncRNA from 1 species